UUCUUACUUAAAAGAUAGUUUAAUUAUUUAAUUACAUGUAAAUUUUAGUAAGUUAAAAUUUAUUUUUUAAAAAAAUAAUAUUUUUAUUAUUCGCAGUUUAUAAAUUUUAAUAUAUAAGAAAUUAUGAUUAAGAAAUUAAUUUUUAUAUUAACCAAAUUUGUGCCAGCAGUUGCGGUUAUACAAAUAAUAUAAAUUAUUUUUUUUAAUAAAUAAUUAAUUAAAUUUAAGUUUAAAUUUUUUUUAAAAUUAUUAAGUGAAAUUUUAAUUUUAAUUAAGAUUUAUAAUAAAUAUUAUGAAGUUAUUAAAUUUAAUUAGUAAACUAGGAUUAGAUACCCUAUUAUUUUAAUAGUAAAUAUAAAAAAUUUAAUUAGUAUUAGUUAUAUUCUUGAAAAUUAAAGAUUUUGGCGGUAUUUUAGUCUUUUCAGAGGAACCUGUCCUAUAAUUGAUAAUCCACGAUUUAUUUUACUUAUUUUUAGUUUAUAUAUCAUCGUAGUUUGAAUAUUUUAUAAGAAUUUUAAAUAUUCAUUAUAUAUAAUUUUAUAAUAAAUCAGAUCAAGGUAUAGCUUAUAAAUGAGAAAGAGAUGGGUUACAAUAAAUUUAUUUACAGUUUAAAAUUUGAAAAAAUUUUUAUUAAGUUGGAUUUGAAAGUAAUAAAAUUAAAUUAAAUUUUAUGAUUAAAGCUCUAAAAUAUGUACAUAUCGCCCGUCGCUCUCAUAUAAAUUGAGAUAAGUCGUAACAAAGUAGAUGUACUGGAAAGUGUAUCUAGAAUGU
rnacentral:ncRNA from 1 species